GAUGAAGAACGCAGCGAAAUGCGAUACGUAAUGUGAAUUGCAGAAUUCAGUGAAUCAUCGAGUCUUUGAACGCACAUUGCGCCCCCUGGUAUUCCGGGGGGCAUGCCUGUCCGAGCGUCAUUGCUGCCCUCAAGCACGGCUUGUGUGUUGGGCCUCCGUCCUCCUCCCGGGGGGCGGGCCCGAAAGGCAGCGGCGGCACCGCGUCCGGUCCUCGAGCGUAUGGGGCUUCGUCACCCGCUCCGUAGGCCCGGCCGGCGCCCGCCGGCGACCCCCCUCAAUCUUUCCAGGUUGACCUCGGAUCAGGUAGGGAUACCCGCUGAACUUAAGCAUAUCAAUAAGCGGAGGA
rnacentral:misc_RNA from 1 species